AUGGAUUCCGGCGACGCAUCUGAACGGAUUCGCAAGGAAAGAGGUUUUCGGAGGAGCGAUCCGAGCAGAGAUAGCCCACCUCGUCGUCACGCAACCGGAGCAGGCUCAGAUGCUCAUCGGCACGGGAGAGACAGGCCGACCCACCGCGUCCCCGCCAAGCGCGUCAAGGAUGAAUUGCCAGAGUCGUCGGAGCCGCCGCCGUCGUCGCGGCUCAAGGCUGUGGUGCCCCGUCCUCUUCAGGACAGAGAUGAGCAAUUCGUCUGGCCAUGGAUGGGUGUGCUGGUCAAUGUGCCUACCGAGUGGAAAGGCGGCCGCCAGGUUGGGGAAAGUGGCAACCGCUUGAAGGAGCAGCUCUCGCGAUUUUGCCCCCAGAAGGUUAUUCCUUUGUGGAAUCACAGAGGCCACACGGGAUAUGCUAUCGUUGAGUUUGGAAAAGACUAUGCUUGCUUCUGCAAUGCCUUCAAGUUUGAAAAUCACUUCGAGGCGGAAGGAUAUAGCAAACGGGACUGGGAGGCACGCAGGUAUCGAGGGUCGAAGAUGUUUGGAUGGGUUGCAAGGGCUGAUGAUCAAAGAACUCUGGGGCCAAUCGGGGAGCAUCUGCAAAAAAAUGGUGAUUUGAAAACUGUUGCGGAACUUGAGAAUGAAGGAACACGCAAAACCGACAAACUGGUAGCUAAUUUAGCCAGCCAAAUUGAGGUAAAGGCCAAGCAUGUCCAAGAACUUGAAUGCAAGUACAAUGAGACGACCAACUCACUUGACAAGGUGAUGGAAGAAAAGGAGCAGGUCCUCCAGAGAUACAAUGAUGAAAUACACAAGAUGCAGCAACUUGCUCGUAAGCAUUCUCAGAUGAUCAUCAAUGAGAAUCAGAGGCUCCGUUCAGAACUGGAGUCCAAGAUGCAGGAUCUCGAAAUAAAAUCCAGGCAGCUUGAUGAACUUGCUGUGCGUAGUGACUCAGACAGAAGGAACCUUGAGAAAGAGAAGGAAAAGAAUGAAAUGAAAGCAAAAUAUCUUAAGAUGGCAACAUCGGAGCAACAGAGGGCGGAUGAAAAUGUGCUGAAGCUUGUGGAAAAACACAAGAGGGAGAAACAAGCUGCUCUAAAUGAGAUUAUCAAGUUAGAGCAGAAACUGGAUGCCAAACAGAAGCUUGAGUUAGAAAUAAAACAGAUGCAGGGAAAAUUGGAAGUGAUGAAGCAUAUGCCAGGUGUGGAAGACUCCGAAUCAAAAAGGAAGAUAGAUGAACUUAGUGCCGAGCUUCAGGAAAAGUAUGAUGAAAUGGAUGCAAUGGAAUCGCUCCACCAUACUCUACUUAUGAAGGAAAGGAUAAGCAAUGAUGAGUUGCAAGAUGCUCGGAAGAAGCUAAUAGAUGGUUUGCGGGAUCUUACAACUGGCCGAGGAAUUAUAGGAAUUAAAAGAAUGGGUGAUCUUGAUCUGAAAUCAUUUGCGAUUGCUUGCAAAAAUAAAAUGUCAAAAGAAGAUGCAGGCGUUACUGCUUCCAUUCUUUGUUCAAAGUGGGAGGAGGAGAUUAAAGAUCCAGAAUGGCACCCUUUUAAAGUUAUCGUGGAUGAAGGCAAAGAGAAGGAAAUUCUCCGCGAGGAUGAUGAGAAGCUGCGAGAACUGAAAGAAGAGUAUGGCGAAGAAGUGUAUGGCUUGGUAACAAAGGCUCUGCUUGAAGUUAACGAGUAUAACCCUAGUGGCCGCUAUCCUGUACCCGAGCUGUGGAACUUCAAAGAGAAGAGGAAAGCAACUCUCAAAGAAGCUGUCCAGUACGUCCUGAGACAGUGGCGCACACAGAAGAGGAAGCGCUGA
rnacentral:rRNA from 1 species